rnacentral:rRNA from 1 species
UACGACUACAUAUCAGGCAUAUCAAUAAGCGGAGGAAAAGAAACUAAGCUAGGAUUCCCUUAGUAACGACGAGUGAAGCGGGAAGAGCUCAAAUUUGAAAUCUUCAAGGUUUUACCUUGACGAAUUGUAGUUUAAAGAAGUGUUUUCUGUUGGAGUUUUGGUAAAAGUUCUUUGGAAUAGGACAUCAUAGAGGGUGAGAAUCCCGUAUUUGACCAUUAUCUUCCAGCUUUGUGAUACACUUUCAAAGAGUCGGAUUGUUUGGGAAUGCAGUCCAAAAUGGGUGGUAAAUUUCAUCUAAAGCUAAAUACUGGCGAGAGACCGAUAGCGAACAAGUACCGUGAGGGAAAGAUGAAAAGAACUUUGAAAAGAGAGUUAAACAGUACGUGAAAUUGUCAAAAGGGAAGCGUUUGACACCAGUGUUGUUUUCUCGAAAAUCAAUUAAAAAUAGUUGGAUUUUGUAUUGUGAUGACUUUAUCAGCUUUCCUGCUACUCUUUUUCCUAUCUUUUUUAAUGCACUUUUCGUUUAACAAGUCAACAUCAAUUUCUUUUGUUGUAAAAGAGUCAUUGGAAGGUGGCUUUCUUUUCGGAGAAAGUGUUUAUAGCCUUUGACUUCUGCAAUCGGAGAGAUUGAGGUCUGCAGCGUAGAUCCUUCGAGGUUAGAUACAUUUGUGCUAAGUUAUAGCCUUUCAUAAACAACUUGUUGACUAUGAUCAGUCAUGUAGCUUACUCGCUUAUGCUAUUUUACCUACGCUUAGGAUGUUGAUCUCUCACAGUCGAGC